rnacentral:rRNA from 1 species
GACGAACGCUGGCGGCGUGCCUAAUACAUGCAAGUUGAGCGCUGAAGGUUGGUACUUGUCCCAACUGGAUGAGCAGCGAACGGGUGAGUAACGCGUGGGGAAUCUGCCUUUGAGCGGGGGACAACAUUUGGAAACGAAUGCUAAUACCGCAUAAAAACUUUAAACACAAGUUUUAAGUUUGAAAGAUGCAAUUGCAUCACUCAAAGAUGAUCCCGCGUUGUAUUAGCUAGUCGGUGAGGUAAAGGCUCACCAAGGCGAUGAUACAUAGCCGACCUGAGAGGGUGAUCGGCCACAUUGGGACUGAGACACGGCCCAAACUCCUACGGGAGGCAGCAGUAGGGAAUCUUCGGCAAUGGACGAAAGUCUGACCGAGCAACGCCGCGGGAGUGAAGAAGGUUUUCGGAUCGUAAAACUCUGUUGGUAGAGAAGAACGUUGGUGAGAGUGGAAAGCUCAUCAAGUGACGGUAACUACCCAGAAAGGGACGGCUAACUACGUG